CCGGCACGGGUGAGUAACACGUAUCCAACCUGCCGUCUACUCUUGGACAGCCUUCUGAAAGGAAGAUUAAUACAAGAUGGCAUCAUGAGUCCGCAUGUUCACAUGAUUAAAGGUAUUCCGGUGGACGAUGGGGAUGCGUUCCAUUAGAUAGUAGGCGGGGUAACGGCCCACCUAGUCUUCGAUGGAUAGGGGUUCUGAGAGGAAGGUCCCCCACAUUGGAACUGAGACACGGUCCAA
rnacentral:rRNA from 1 species